rnacentral:rRNA from 1 species
GACGAACGCUGGCGGCGUGCCUAAUACAUGCAAGUCGAACGCUUCUUUCCUCCCGAGUGCUUGCACUCAAUUGGAAAGAGGAGUGGCGGACGGGUGAGUAACACGUGGGUAACCUACCCAUCAGAGGGGGAUAACACUUGGAAACAGGUGCUAAUACCGCAUAACAGUUUAUGCCGCAUGGCAUAAGAGUGAAAGGCGCUUUCGGGUGUCGCUGAUGGAUGGACCCGCGGUGCAUUAGCUAGUUGGUGAGGUAACGGCUCACCAAGGCCACGAUGCAUAGCCGGCCUGAGAGGGUGAACGGCCACAUUGGGACUGAGACACGGCCCAA